rnacentral:rRNA from 1 species
AUUGAACGCUGGCGGCAGGCCUAACACAUGCAAGUCGAGCGGAGCGGCGGACGGGUGAGUAAUGCCUAGGAAUCUGCCUGGUAGUGGGGGAUAACGUCCGGAAACGGGCGCUAAUACCGCAUACUAUCAGAUGAGCCAAGGGCGGAUUAGCUAGUUGGUGGGGUAAAGGCCUACAAAGGCGACGACCCGUAACUGGUCUGAGAGGUGGAUCAGUCACACUGGAACUGAGACACGGUCCAGACUCCUACGGGAGGCAGCAGGGGGGAAUAUUGGCAAAUGGGCGAAAGCCUGAUCCAGCCAUGCCGCGUGUGUGAAGAAGGUCUUCGGAUUGUAAAGCACUUUAAGGUGUGAGGCGUGACCAACAGAAUAAGCACCGGCUAACUUCGUGCCAGCAGCCGCGGUAAUUC